CAUACUGAAUGUUUGUGCUAAGUUAUUUCUUCCAUGUAGGUUUCUGCUUUCUUGGAGGUUCAGGAUAAUGUUAAUGAUCUCUUGAGUAAAUACUCAACUUCAGUUGGUUAGCAUACAACCCUGACACCAUAAUAAAACAUUCUUUCAAGUCUUAAGAAUAGAUUUGUAGGGCAAAAUGUGAUUUUCUUUUCCAAGUGACAUUGUGAAUCUCAACUGCUUGUGUGAGAGCUGUUUUCUAAGUAAGUUCUCCUCUUAAGACUUUGCAUAAUGCAAAUAGUGUAGCAGAGAAGUUUUGUUCUUGUUCUUUUUAAUUUUAAAAAUAAGCUUUUAUACUUGUAAUAUCCCUAUAACAUAUUUGGAAGAUUGAGAAUGCAUAAAGAGGCACAAUAUAAAUUUUAUAAUAUAAGUAUUAUAUUAUCUUUUUCCAUGAAAGCAAAUUGUUCUGAAAUAUUUUUCAAAAAAAACUUCCUGAAUUGUUUUCUUCCCACUCCUUUUUUUCCCCUUGAGCAACCACCAGACAGAUUUUUCUAAAACCUACAACUGACUUGUCUCUCUCCAGUUGAAAGCUAUUUAAUGCUUUCAGUUAUGUGCAUAGCAGGAUUCAGCCUCCUUAAGGCCCUCUGUGAGUAGCCCUCUGCCCAUAGGAAUCUUGUUGGUGAAUGAGUAGGUAGUUUCCCAAACUUUCAUUGAGAAUUUCUUGUUUAUGCAUCGAAAAUCAAAUAAAAACAGAACCAAAGCUUCUCUUCCCAGCUUCCCCAUCUUGUAAGUGGAUAUCAAACCUGAAAUUUGGAAAUCAGUUUGGAUUGCCCCCUUUCCCUCCUCUACAGUCCUACUUUCUACAUAUCUUUUGAUCUUACCCUGUUCUGCUCUGUUUCCUUGCAACCCGUCACUCCUUUGAGUCUGGUUUUAGCCACAGUCAUCUCCUAACUUGCGAUCUGAUUGUGGCAUUUACCUAUUGGUUCCUUCCUAGACCUCUUUGCAGAGUCCAAACUCUUUCACCUAGUUUCCAAGGCCAUAUUUAUUGACAUGUGCAGAACACUGUUCUAGACAGAGAAUUAAGUGGUGACCAAGACUGGCGAGAUCCUGCCGAUCUCAGGAUCUUACAUUCACUUUGGGGUGAGGUGGUACUGAGGCUGGAUAUUAAACAAGAAAGCCAAUAAAGAAAACAGGGAUUAUAAGGGCUGUGAAUUGAGUAGCCAGAUGCUGCAUUUGUGUGUGUGUGUAUGUGUGUGUGUGUGUAAGCGCCCCCUCCUCAUACUGUGUUCUGUGGACCAGACCUUCAGUUCCUCCUGUUCACCUGUCUCUCUUCUCUCUUUUCUCUCUCCUCUCCUAUCUGCUUCACCCACCUAGGUCUUCUCAGUAGCCACUGUCCUGCUGACAUCCCCUCAUUCCACCCCCCUUGACUAGGUAGGCCUAGUACUUCUGCUGCUGUCUACAUUUCCCAAUUAAUUACCAAGCAACUGUAAUUGCUGGAUUAACAGUCUCUUGUGUUCAUUUUUAAACCCUUAGUACAAACUGCUCAGCCUCAUUUGUGGACAGAAUAACCUGUACCUGGGAGGGAGUACUUCAGCCUGCCUGGGAGAGCUGCUAGACAUUUCCAUUGCUCCCUGCCUGAUACCCUAGCUGGCCCCAGAUGAGCUCUUCUUAUCAACUCCCUGACUUUACUUAGGUGCACUCUUCUUUCUGAGCAGUGUUCUCUGAUAGAAAGCAAGCCUCUUUGUUUGAUUAAUUCUGUACCUGAGUUCCUGACAAUACCUACACAUAGUAAGUGCUCAAUGAAUAGUAAAUCAAAAGCCAAAACAAAUGUAAAACUCGAAUCAAACAAAAACCCAGAGAGAUCUAGUUUGGAAGAAGGAAUGAGAACCAAUUCUAAGGUGAAUAUAAUGAACAAAAGAACCACCCUCCUGGGAGAAACUGCAGGUCAAUAUGAACGUUCACCUUCCUGUAAAAGUAUUUUACCUACCUUGCUACAAACUCUAGUGUCCAUCCAGCCAUUCCACCUUUUGUUUCAGCACAGUACCAGGAUGCCAUCUCUGAUUUCUGUUCAGCCUGCUUUGUUCCACUGGUACUGAAGCCACACUCUUUCCUUCAUUGGAGGUGGGGAUCACCUUUCUUUUCCCAGGAGUCAAUUUCACCUGUGUUUGUAUUUCUCCUUUAUUGUUAUUUUGAGAUUCAUAUUAGAGGCUGCAAAUUAGGGUCAACUUGGAAG
rnacentral:lncRNA from 1 species